GUUAUAUGGUCAAGUGAAGAAGCGCAUACGGUGGAUGCCUUGGCAGUCAGAGGCGAUGAAAGACGUGGUAGCCUGCGAAAAGCUUCGGGGAGUCGGCAAACAGACUUUGAUCCGGAGAUCUCUGAAUGGGGGAACCCACCUAGGAUAACCUAGCCUAGGUAUCUUGUACUGAAUCCAUAGGUGCAAGAGGCGAACCAGGGGAACUGAAACAUCUAAGUACCCUGAGGAAAAGAAAUCAACCGAGAUUCCCUUAGUAGUGGCGAGCGAACGGGGAUUAGCCCUUAAGCUUCAUUGAUUUUAGCGGAACGCUCUGGAAAGUGCGGCCAUAGUGGGUGAUAGCCCCGUACGCGAAAGGAUCUUUGAAGUGAAAUCGAGUAGGACGGAGCACGAGAAACUUUGUCUGAACAUGGGGGGACCAUCCUCCAAGGCUAAAUACUACUGACUGACCGAUAGUGAACCAGUACCGUGAGGGAAAGGCGAAAAGAACCCCGGAGAGGGGAGUGAAAUAGAACCUGAAACCGUAUGCGUACAAGCAGUGGGAGCCUACUUGUUAGGUGACUGCGUACCUUUUGUAUAAUGGGUCAGCGACUUAUAUUCAGUGGCAAGCUUAACCGUAUAGGGUAGGCGUAGCGAAAGCGAGUCUUAAUAGGGCGUUUAGUCGCUGGGUAUAGACCCGAAACCGGGCGAUCUAUCCAUGAGCAGGUUGAAGGUUAGGUAACACUGACUGGAGGACCGAACCCACUCCCGUUGAAAAGGUAGGGGAUGACUUGUGGAUCGGAGUGAAAGGCUAAUCAAGCUCGGAGAUAGCUGGUUCUCCUCGAAAGCUAUUUAGGUAGCGCCUCAUGUAUCACUCUGGGGGGUAGAGCACUGUUUCGGCUAGGGGGUCAUCCCGACUUACCAAACCGAUGCAAACUCCGAAUACCCAGAAGUGCCGAGCAUGGGAGACACACGGCGGGUGCUAACGUCCGUCGUGAAAAGGGAAACAACCCAGACCGCCAGCUAAGGUCCCAAAGUUGUGGUUAAGUGGUAAACGAUGUGGGAAGGCUUAGACAGCUAGGAGGUUGGCUUAGAAGCAGCCAUCCUUUAAAGAAAGCGUAAUAGCUCACUAGUCGAGUCGGCCUGCGCGGAAGAUGUAACGGGGCUCAAACCACACACCGAAGCUGCGGGUGUCACGUAAGUGACGCGGUAGAGGAGCGUUCUGUAAGCCUGUGAAGGUGAGUUGAGAAGCUUGCUGGAGGUAUCAGAAGUGCGAAUGCUGACAUGAGUAACGACAAUGGGUGUGAAAAACACCCACGCCGAAAGACCAAGGGUUCCUGCGCAACGUUAAUCGACGCAGGGUUAGUCGGUUCCUAAGGCGAGGCUGAAAAGCGUAGUCGAUGGGAAACAGGUUAAUAUUCCUGUACUUCUGGUUACUGCGAUGGAGGGACGGAGAAGGCUAGGCCAGCUUGGCGUUGGUUGUCCAAGUUUAAGGUGGUAGGCUGAAAUCUUAGGUAAAUCCGGGGUUUCAAGGCCGAGAGCUGAUGACGAGUCGUCUUUUAGAUGACGAAGUGGUUGAUGCCAUGCUUCCAAGAAAAGCUUCUAAGCUUCAGGUAACCAGGAACCGUACCCCAAACCGACACAGGUGGUCGGGUAGAGAAUACCAAGGCGCUUGAGAGAACUCGGGUGAAGGAACUAGGCAAAAUGGCACCGUAACUUCGGGAGAAGGUGCGCCGGCUAGGGUGAAGGAUUUACUCCGUAAGCUCUGGCUGGUCGAAGAUACCAGGCCGCUGCGACUGUUUAUUAAAAACACAGCACUCUGCAAACACGAAAGUGGACGUAUAGGGUGUGACGCCUGCCCGGUGCCGGAAGGUUAAUUGAUGGGGUUAGCGCAAGCGAAGCUCUUGAUCGAAGCCCCGGUAAACGGCGGCCGUAACUAUAACGGUCCUAAGGUAGCGAAAUUCCUUGUCGGGUAAGUUCCGACCUGCACGAAUGGCGUAACGAUGGCGGCGCUGUCUCCACCCGAGACUCAGUGAAAUUGAAAUCGCUGUGAAGAUGCAGUGUAUCCGCGGCUAGACGGAAAGACCCCGUGAACCUUUACUGUAGCUUUGCACUGGACUUUGAGCCUGCUUGUGUAGGAUAGGUGGGAGGCUUUGAAGCGUGGACGCCAGUUCGCGUGGAGCCAUCCUUGAAAUACCACCCUGGCAUGCUUGAGGUUCUAACUCUGGUCCGUGAUCCGGAUCGAGGACAGUGUAUGGUGGGCAGUUUGACUGGGGCGGUCUCCUCCUAAAGAGUAACGGAGGAGUACGAAGGUGCGCUCAGACCGGUCGGAAAUCGGUCGCAGAGUAUAAAGGCAAAAGCGCGCUUGACUGCGAGACAGACACGUCGAGCAGGUACGAAAGUAGGUCUUAGUGAUCCGGUGGUUCUGUAUGGAAGGGCCAUCGCUCAACGGAUAAAAGGUACUCCGGGGAUAACAGGCUGAUACCGCCCAAGAGUUCAUAUCGACGGCGGUGUUUGGCACCUCGAUGUCGGCUCAUCACAUCCUGGGGCUGAAGCCGGUCCCAAGGGUAUGGCUGUUCGCCAUUUAAAGUGGUACGCGAGCUGGGUUUAGAACGUCGUGAGACAGUUCGGUCCCUAUCUGCCGUGGACGUUUGAGAUUUGAGAGGGGCUGCUCCUAGUACGAGAGGACCGGAGUGGACGAACCUCUGGUGUUCCGGUUGUCACGCCAGUGGCAUUGCCGGGUAGCUAUGUUCGGAAAAGAUAACCGCUGAAAGCAUCUAAGCGGGAAACUUGCCUCAAGAUGAGAUCUCACUGGGAACUUGAUUCCCCUGAAGGGCCGUCGAAGACUACGACGUUGAUAGGCUGGGUGUGUAAGCGUUGUGAGGCGUUGAGCUAACCAGUACUAAUUGCCCGUGAGGCUUGACCAUAUAACACCCAAACA
rnacentral:rRNA from 1 species